rnacentral:rRNA from 1 species
UGGGGAAUAUUGGGCAAUGGGCGCAAGCCUGACCCAGCAACGCCGCGUGAAGGAAGAAGGCCUUCGGGUUGUAAACUUCUUUUGUCAGGGACGAAGAAAGUGACGGUACCUGACGAAUAAGCCACGGCUAACUACGUGCCAGCAGCCGCGGUAAUACGUAGGUGGCAAGCGUUAUCCGGAUUUACUGGGUGUAAAGGGCGUGUAGGCGGGAGAGCAAGUCAGACGUGAAAUUCCAGGGCUCAACCCUGGAACUGCGUUUGAAACUGUUCUUCUUGAGUGAUGGAGAGGCAGGCGGAAUUCCGU